rnacentral:rRNA from 1 species
UCCAUGCAGUCGCAAUCGCUAGUAAUCGUAGAUCAGAAUGCUACGGUGAAUACGUUCCCGGGCCUUGUACACACCGCCCGUCACACCAUGGGAGUGGGUUGCAAAAGAAGUAGGUAGCUUAACCUUCGGGAGGGCGCUUACCACUUUGUGAUUCAUGACUGGGGUGAAGUCGUAACAAGGUAACCGUAGGGGAACCUGCGGUUGGAUCACCUCCUUA